GCUUCUGGAACGACACGGUUCAACCGUCUCUUUAGCCUGUUAGCCGACAAGAAGGAGAAACGUUGAAGCUCUGUCGACCAUAUUUGUGUAGUUACACAAAUAACGCCCCAGUGAUUUAAACACAGUACUGUUAACGUAUCUACUAGUUCAUUUAAACGUAAUUAGCUUGUUAUUACAUUUGCAAAUGUGUUACCGAGCCUAGCACUAGGCUAGUCGCUAAUGCUAAGUAGCUAGGUAGCUAGCUAGCUAACAUCCCUGACAAUGAGCUCACAAAGCUACUCUCCUCCUGCUAAUGAAGAGGAGGUCUGCUGGACGGAGAAAGCAGCUCUGGGGAUGAACAUUGUCAUUAAAGAAGAAGAAGAGGGGAUAUUACAGUGAUAGGAACGGAAGAAGCUUUUCGAAUUAAAACAGAGGAAGAGGAGGAAGGGAUAGAGGCUGUCACCGUGAAAGAGGAAGAGGGGAUAGAGGUUGUCAUAGUGGAAGAAGAGGUAGAAGCUUUCAGAAUGAAAAAUGAGAUAGAGGAGGAUAUCACAUUGAAAGAAGAAGAACCUUUUGUAGUGAAAGAGGAGGAGACUGAAGAUCCGAUUAACACCAAUCCACAAAUGAGGCAAUAUGCAGUUUCCUGGCCCUCCCAGGGCUCUACAGUGAAUGAGGACAUCAGAAAGACACAGGAAGAAUCUAAUGUGACACCCGUGAGUCCCAGACAGUUUGGUGGUGAUGACGAUGCUAUUCACUGCGACAAAGAAUGGGACGUGAAAGACAAGGAUUGGUUUCCUAGCAACAGGCUGAAGGCGGAGUCGGCUCCAGAGCCACACCCCAGAGCAGAGGGGGAGUGGUGACAUGUCUUUCCCUCUCCCAGAGUCCCCAGGUCGUGCCUCUCCCCACUGUUGCCUUACUGUG